rnacentral:rRNA from 1 species
GACGAACGCUGGCGGCGUGCUUAACACAUGCAAGUCGAACGGUGAAGGGACUGGUUUUGCUGGUCCUGGAUGGGUGGCGACCGGGUGAGUAACACGUGAGUAACCUGCCCCCUUCUUCUGGAUAACCGCAUGAAAGUGUGGCUAAUACGGGAUAUUCUGGGUCUGUCGCAUGGUGGGCCUGGGAAAGAUUGCGCCUUUUUUGGUGUUUUUGGUGGGGGAUGGGCUCGCGGCCUAUCAGCUUGUUGGUGGGGUGAUGGCCUACCAAGGCGGUGACGGGUAGCCGGCCUGAGAGGGUGGACGGUCACACUGGGACUGAGACACGGCCCAGACUCCUACGGGAGGCAGCAGUGGGGAAUAUUGCACAAUGGGCGCAAGCCUGAUGCAGCGACGCCGCGUGAGGGAUGGAGGCCUUCGGGGUGUGAACCUCUUUCGCCAGUGAAGCAGGCCUGCCUCUUUUUGUGGGUGGGUUGACGGUAGCUGGAUAAGAAGCGCCGGCUAACUACGUG